UGAGCAUCAACGAGGAACCGGCCGCGGUGACCGCACAGCCUGGGAAACGUUAGAUGCCGCCGGUGGAUUGUAGAACGUGUGCGUCUGACGUGGGGAAAAAACACCACAACGGGUUCCUCCGGACAGCUGUGUUGGUGUGAGGAAGGCUGCGGUGUUAACUUCUCCGCUGCAUGAAAGCUGUGAGCUGCUCGGCCCAGAAAGAUGUUCCGGCUGUGCCGUCCUUCUUCAGUGUUACUGCCUGCCGCUCAGCUCCCACCAGCGCUGGGGCGACGCUUGCCUCCGUCGGUGCCACCAUAUGUGCCCCACGGCCUGUUUGGGUCCACGGUGGGUCCAGUGUCGAGCUUUAAAUAGCCUUCGCGCCGUCUGUAGCCCAAGGCAGUUUGUUUUGACUGGAGCGCGUCUUCCUCUGAGAAGCCGC
ensembl:lncRNA